rnacentral:rRNA from 1 species
UACGUAGGGUGCAAGCGUUAAUCGGAAUUACUGGGCGUAAAGCGUGCGCAGGCGGUUUUGUAAGUCUGUCGUGAAAGCCCCGGGCUCAACCUGGGAAUUGCGAUGGAGACUGCAAGGCUUGAAUCUGGCAGAGGGGGGUAGAAUUCCACGUGUAGCAGUGAAAUGCGUAGAUAUGUGGAGGAACACCGAUGGCGAAGGCAGCCCCCUGGGCUAAGAUUGACGCUCAUGCACGAAAGCGUGGGGAGCAAACAGG